GACGAACGCUGGCGGCGCGCCUAACACAUGCAAGUCGAACGGAGCUUAGAGAGCUUGCUUUUUAAGCUUAGUGGCGAACGGGUGAGUAACGCGUGAGUAACCUGCCCUAGAGUGGGGGACAACAGUUGGAAACGACUGCUAAUACCGCAUAAGCCCACGGUGCCGCAUGGUACUGAGGGAAAAGGAUUUAUUCGCUUUAGGAUGGACUCGCGUCCAAUUAGCUAGUUGGUGAGGUAACGGCCCACCAAGGCGACGAUUGGUAGCCGGACUGAGAGGUUGAACGGCCACAUUGGGACUGAGACACGGCCCAGACUCCUACGGGAGGCAGCAGUGGGGGAUAUUGCACAAUGGGGGAAACCCUGAUGCAGCGACGCCGCGUGGAGGAAGAAGGUUUUCGGAUUGUAAACUCCUGUCGUUAGGGACGAUAAUGACGGUACCUAACAAGAAAGCAC
rnacentral:rRNA from 1 species